UGGCAGACGGGUGAGUAAUGCAUAGGUAAUCUACCCUUGAGUGGGGGAUAACUUAUCGAAAGGUAAGCUAAUCCCGCAUAAUGUCGUGAUACAUAAGUGUUGCGAAAAAAGGGGGGGAUCCUUCGGGACCUCUCGCUUGGGGAUGUGCCUAUGUCCUAUUAGCUAGUUGGUGAGGUAAUGGCUCACCAAGGCUCUGAUGGGUAGCCGAGCUGAGAGGCUGAUCGGCCACACUGGAACUGAAACACGGUCCAGACUCCUACGGGAGGCAGCAGUGGGGAAUUUUGCGCAAUGGGCGAAAGCCUGACGCAGCGACGCCGCGUGAGGGAUGAAGGCCUUCGAGGUUGUAAACCUCUGUCAGGAAGGAUUAAGGUUCAAGAGUUAAUAACUCUUUGAAAUUGACUUAACUUCCAGAGGAAGCUCCGGCUAACUACGUGCCAGCAGCCGCGGUAAUACGUAGGGGGCUAACGUUACUCGGAUUUACUGGGCGUAAAGCGAGUGUAGGCGGUUGAGUAAGUCAGUGGUGAAAGCCCUCAGCUUAACUGAGGAAUUGCCUUUGAUACUGCUUGACUUGAGGACAGGAGAGGAAAGUGGAAUUCCCGGUGUAGCGGUGGAAUGCGUAGAUAUCGGGAGGAACACCAGAGGCGAAGGCGGCUUUCUGGACUGAUCCUGACGCUGAGACUCGGAAGCUAGGGGAGCAAACAGGAUUAGAUACCCUGGUAGUCCUAGCCGUAAACGAUGGAUACUAGAUCUUGC
rnacentral:rRNA from 1 species